AUAACUCCAGAGCCCCAGCUUUUCCUACCAUUAAUCGUAAGAUUAGAUCCUGGAUACAGAAAUGCUAAAUGAUCAACAAACAUAGUUAGCUCUGAACUCAAAUGAAUGUUUUUUUCCUUUCCCUUUCAUUGAAGAGAGGGGAAAAAAAGCUUCACAUCUAUAAAGUGUGUUCUGUCUCACAAGAGAAUCCUAGCUGGUGUGUAGGAGUGGAGGAAGUGGACUCAGGACAAAUAAAAAUUCACUGCAUUUUUAACAUAUAAACUAAUCAUUCCUCUCUCUUCCAGUGUAAGUCACGAGCCAUACCUCUUCUCAUGCCCUUCAAGGUCCUUCACACAUCAGCCCCAACCCUUUUGUACCCAUUGCCACAUACCCCAUUACUGCUAUUUCCCUCCCACGGGGGUAUAACCUUUCCAAAACUUUUAGUAAAUUCAUAGAAGCCUGUCUGAACUUUUUCUCUCACAUCCCCCAUCAAAGUCUGCUUUCUGAUCCUUGCUUCUUGGAAGGACACAUGUUCAGCAUCUUACAGAGCUGCCCAACCCAGAACUGUCUGCAUUUCAGACAGAAGAAAAACCUCCAAUCAUGUCUCAUUCAUCUUUGCAUCACCUGGACCUUUCAGGAGAUAGGCACUAUAUUUUCCACAUGCUCCAUGUGGAAAUACCUUAUUCUCCAGAGCAAAAUCAUAACACCUGGUCCAACAGCAUGAACACUCUUAGGGAAGAAGACAGAAUGGUCUCCAGACAUACAAUGAGCACUCAACAAACAUUUGUGGUAUAUGAAUUUGUGCACUUCUUGAUGGACUCAAUGAAGAAUCACCAGAUGCCUCCUACACCCAAGUACGCAGUAGGUACUCAAUAAAGAAAAAAGGAUGGACUAUCAAGCUUCCCUCCCCAUAGGAACUUUACACUCAGCUUCUAUAACAGAUGCAUCUGGUGCCUACCUCACAUCCCUGUGUCCCACCUCUGACUUCAGCCACAUGUCUGACCCUGACCACAACCUGCUAUGUCGUGGCUUCCUUCCACGGCAUGCCAACUCUGAAGCAGAUGCCCAGCCUGCACACCAGCACCCUGGGACAGCCCUCAACCAAGAGGGGACAGGUGCCAGGAGAUAAUGCUCUAGCCUCUUGUACUUCUGGAGCCUGGCUCUAGGAGGCACAUUUUACUCUGUCCCUUAGAAGAUUCCAAUGGGACCAUGUACCAGCCACAGCAGUGACUCUGAUAAUACAUCACUGCCUUACUUUUUCUUCCUUGCCUUUUUUCCCUCUUCUCUCUCCCUCAUUUCCUGCUUCCUAAGAUCAUGCCCAUAUAAACUACCUGCAUCCAAAUCCCUGCUGAAGGUCUAAUUUCUGGGGAACUGCAAACUAAGAAAGCCUCUGAUCUAAGCCAGCCAUUUCAGGAUCCACAAGAGACUCUUUCACUCUGGCUGAUGAAUUCCACACCAAAAACAGGGUGAGGGCCGUUCAGCAACUUUUCAGUUCUGUUGUUCUCUGAGGACAUCUGUGGAUGUUUUCAGUGGAAGCAGUACACAGUAAGUGCUAAAUACACAUGUCUUCCAAAUUAAAUCCAGGUAAAAAUCCAGCUUCUUCACAAGUAGUAAAAAGGAGGUAAUAAUGUACAUGGCAUCCCAAAUUAUUCAUUUUGUCACACCAUUCCCCUGCAUUCGUCAGGAUUUCAUUUGGCUCCUUUUUCCAACCUUAGCCCAGCAUGCUAGCAGGUAUUUAUCAAUAUAUUAAAUGCUACUUAAACUUCCUAAAAUGAUCCCAGAACAGUAAAGGGGAAAAAAGCUUCUGAUUUAAAGCUAAACAUACACAGCUAUCCAUUAGCAUGACAAUGUCUGCAUUUUACUUAGACAUUGCCAUUAAUAAUGAAAUGAUGUAUGAUUUCCACUCCAGCAGCUCUUCCUUCCUUGCACAAUCAAUUAUACAUUUAAGAAAAUACUUAGUGGAUAGAAAGCUCCUCUAAUUAAGCAUCACUUGAGGGAGCUUGUGAGAUUCUUAAAACUAGAAAAGAUAUCUCAGAGAAGUAGGAUGGUGGAGGGAAAAAAAAUCCACUCAAAAUGUUUGAGUCUUGAUUAGACAAACUCUCAGGCAUUCUGAACCACUAUGAAAGGAAAAACUCACACACACAUAUAUUUUAACCCAAUAGACUUUGAGGCGAACUAAAUAUUCUGCAAAAUGUAAAAACUUUCUCUUUGUUCCAGCUAAGAAGCCAGGACUAAAUUGAAAUUAGAUAUUUUGGUUGAGAUCCAGCCCCAGCCCCAGAAUUGCUGUCCCUUUUUUGUCUUCCCUGUCAAAAUCAUUGAGGAGUUAAGAUAGUUGGUUCUUCAGAACUCUGGAAAUUGUCCAACGUUAGAAUCAAAUAGAAAUAGCAUAAGAUUUCCCAGAAGGCAAAACAAGGAUGGUUUUCCUCACUAAAAUUAUUACAUAUCACAUCGUGUUCUUGGGAGGGGUGCUUAUCUGGUGAUAAUCUCCAGAAUGAUUUUACAUCCCGGUUGUCCUACAAAACUAACUCUCUCCGACACAGCACAGCAAAUUCAUUCAAUUUGGUGGGUCCUAACGCUUUCUCUUUCUCUCCCUCUAGAGGCAGAAAAUGAAGCACUAAAUAAGGUUUAAUUUCACGGCAUUAAAAACAAAACCAAGGAUAAGCCACUCUGACAGGAACAGAAAGC
rnacentral:lncRNA from 1 species